rnacentral:rRNA from 1 species
GACGAACGCUGGCGGCGUGCUUAACACAUGCAAGUCGAACGGAAAGGCCCUGCUUUUGUGGGGUGCUCGAGUGGCGAACGGGUGAGUAACACGUGAGUAACCUGCCCUUGACUUUGGGAUAACUUCAGGAAACUGGGGCUAAUACCGGAUAGGAGCUCCUGCUGCAUGGUGGGGGUUGGAAAGUUUCGGCGGUUGGGGACGGACUCGCGGCUUAUCAGCUUGUUGGUGGGGUAGUGGCUUACCAAGGCUUUGACGGGUAGCCGGCCUGAGAGGGUGACCGGCCACAUUGGGACUGAGAUACGGCCCAGACGCCUACGGGAGGCAGCAGUGGGGAAUAUUGCACAAUGGGCGGAAGCCUGAUGCAGCAACGCCGCGUGCGGGAUGACGGCCUUCGGGUUGUAAACCGCUUUCGCCUGUGACGAAGCGUGAGUGACGGUAAUGGGUAAAGAAGCACCGGCUAACUACGUG